AAAGAAACAAAAAAAAAAGCUUCUAACUUUUUUA
rnacentral:tRNA from 1 species